UUUGCACCAAAAAGUCCUUUUCAUUUUACUCUCCUCCAGCUAUAUAUUAGGUGACGCCUCCUCAAAAGGUUCAAUAAGGGGAGUGUUCCCCUUAAAAUGGCAGCAAAAGGGCUGAAGGAGAGAGUUUUUUAAGUCUUGCAGGGAAGAAAGUGAAGAAAGAAGAAAAAGAGUGAGACUUUAGAAGAAAAUGAGUGAACUGAGAGGAGGGUUUUUGUGGAGUGUAAAAAGAAACCCUAAUUUUCAGUUGGGUUUAUAAAAAGUUUCUUUCCAGAAAUGGGGUUUAGAUCUGAUUGAGUCAGAGUUUUUAUGUUCUAAUCACAAGUUUGACUUGAACCCAUCUCUGAAAUCUAAAUCUUUCUAUUUUUUGUAAUAUAUAUAUAUAUACAGCUAUAGCUUUAUGUGUAAAUAUGGGCGUAGAGAGAUAAAAAUAAUAAAGAGGAAGAGAGACUGACAGAAGAGAGUGAGCACACGCAGGCAAUUGUAUGAGAAAAUACCUUUGAGGGUGCGUGCUCACUUCUCUUUCUGUCAGCUCACUCUCUUCACUUCUUUAUUCUUCACUACUCAAACACACAGACUUUUCUUCUUCUUCUUGUAUGUCUCCACGUACACUUCUUUCUUUAUAUCUAUAUAACUUCUGAAAAUAAGAAGAAAAUGAAAAAAACUGACACAUCGAGCUCUUCAUGAAGAGAAGUCUUUACUUUAUUCUCUUAAUUUGUUGUGUUUGGUUUAUUCCAUAUGGAUAAGGUAAGAUUGCAUUUAAUUUGCUCAGUUUGGAUAAAUUUUUUUAUUUUUGUUUUUGAUGAAUGCAUUUAUGUUAAUUUUAUUAUUAUAAUAGCAAGAAUAAUAUGCGAUGGAGCAUGAAACUUGAAAGCGUGACUUUUCAUGGUUCGCCUUUCCUCUUUGAGGAGGACCAACUUCGUGAACCACAGGAAGGUACGCUCGUUACUGUUCAUAAUUUAACGGAAAACUGUAUAUUUCUUUUGGAAUUUAUAUGUUCUUGACUUCUUUCUCGUUUUUACCUUCUUUGCUUGUCAAAACCCUUUCCUUUCUCCUUUCUUUCAUCUUUUUUCUGUAUUUUCACUUCCAAUUUUGGGUUUUUUGUCUUCUUUAUAGCAAAUCCCAGGUGGGUUUUUCUGUCUCUCUAAAGUUUGUAAUUUCUCGUUUUUCUUUUUGGUGAAUCAUGCUGAUAUUUAUCUGAUUUUGUUUCCUAUUUAAGUGUUGCACCUUUGUUAUCAUAUGUUUUUGCUUUCUCUUUUGAUUUGGAUUUGAUAAAUGAAGACUUUUAGUGCCACUGAGUCGAUAAUUUUUGUUCUAAAUAUGGGAAACCUGGUUUGUUUCCUCUUCUGGGAAAAUAUGCUCGAGUUUGUAGCCACGAAUAAGGUUUCCCAAGAAGGCAAUCUCCUUGUAGAGCAGCACUUAUUGUUUGGUUCUGGGAGGCAACAACAAACACCGUCUAUUUGUUGCAGCUUAAUCACUCAGGUAACUUCACUCGCCAAAAUCUUUUCAUGUCAGCUUUAUUUUCUCAUGUAUUUAGUCUCUUUUUCUUCUGAUUUUAUGUGGUUUAUUUGGUGGAUUUUGUUCUAAAUUUAGACUCAACUAAUCUGUUUCCACUUGAUGGGUUGUUUAAAUAUUUUGGGGUUCUUUCAAUAGUUGGAUUCAGUAGUUAAAAUAAGUUUCUUUUUAGAAGAUCAGCCAUUGAUGAAGGAUUUAAGAAAUUGAAUAGAACUGUAUUUCUUCAGGCUAGGUUUUAGACACUUGUUUCUGGUUUUGAGUUCUGUUCCCACAUCAAUGAAGUGCUUUUUAACUCACAUCUUCACUGAUAAUUAGUAUCAUGAGAUUGAUUUAGAUAUUUUCUUUGUGAAGAUAACGAUCUUAAGCAAUAUGCAUGUAUUGGGCCACUUAGGAGUGACUUUCUGACUAAUAUUUUGUUGAGUUGUUUGGUAGGUGGGUGAGAUUUUUCUCAUGUUCUUAUGCCAUAAGUAGUUUAUUUAAUAAAUAGUUUUAUAGUGUUCUUCUGGUUCAUUGAUGUUGAAACCUCAUUGUGGAACCAAUUUUGAUAAUUUAUUUAUUAUUCCUUAAUUGCAAAGUGUUCCGACUUUUAUUGCACAAAGAGACACAACAAUGCUUAUUAUAUAUACAUAUCAUCAUCAGAACUUCAACAAAGUUUUGUAUGUGUUGUCUCUCCCAUUGCAAUUCUUUGUUAAUAGUGUCCUCCUCUCAUCUGUGUAAUCUUUUGAUAUUUGAAAUUUACUUGGGAACUUUGGUGUUAAAGAGCUUGUAAUUCUCUGGAGUUUAUGUAUAUAUCGGCUUGGUCAUGGUGUUAGUGGUGAUUGUAGUGGAUUGAUAGUUGUUGGACAAUUAUGGUGGUGGCUAGUAGUGGUUGAUUUUAGGAUAGUGUUGCCACUUUGUGGCAAGCAGUGGUGGGAGGAUUAUGUCGGCUGCAACAGCGCAACAUGUGGUGGUGGAAAAGUGAUGAACUCAAAAAUAAAACUUAACGGGUUAAAGUUGAAUAAAAGUAAACCAUAAGAGAGCCAAUAAAGAGAUAAUUAAAUCUAAAAGGGUCAAUAUAAAAUUUAAAGAGUUAUAUCAAUAUUUUUAUAUAUACAGAACUAUAAAUUUUCAAAGUCAGGGGUCAACGGACCUUCCUUAACCCCCUGAGUGGGAAUAGUAGACAAAACUUAAGUAAUAAUUUUGACAUUGUCGGUAUCUAGGAUAAUAAGAAAAGUGUGUUGGUAGUGACACUUCUAUUCAUUGAAAUCGAACUAUGUAUAUGAGUCUAUUGAAAUUCUGAUUUUGGAUUUAUAUAUAGUUGUUGAAACAUAUUUCAUUGCCGGCUUAAGUGGAGGACAAUGGAACUUUAAAUUGAAGGAUUCUACUAUAGACCAAAAUCUUGUACCGACUUUCUUAUUUAGUCAUUGCUUUAGUAUUCUUAUGUUUAAUCUUUUCGUCUCUUUGCUAAUAAUAUAUAAAUUCCUUAAAACUCA